GAUCCGUAACUGGUCUGAGAGGAUGAUCAGUCACACUGGAACUGAGACACGGUCCAGACUCCUACGGGAGGCAGCAGUGGGGAAUAUUGGACAAUGGGCGAAAGCCUGAUCCAGCCAUGCCGCGUGUGUGAAGAAGGUCUUCGGAUUGUAAAGCACUUUAAGUUGGGAGGAAGGGCAGUAACUUAAUACGUUGCUGUUUUGACGUUACCGACAGAAUAAGCACCGGCUAACUCUGUGCCAGCAGCCGCGGUAAUACAGAGGGUGCAAGCGUUAAUCGGAAUUACUGGGCGUAAAGCGCGCGUAGGUGGUUUGUUAAGUUGGAUGUGAAAUCCCCGGGCUCA
rnacentral:rRNA from 1 species